ACAAUGGUAUUUAGAAAAAUAAUUGAAACUGGGAUUUUCUGAUUUGACACGUAGAAGUAACUAACUUACUUCCUAUAUUUUUUUAGACUCGACUAACAUUCUAUUUUUUUUGAGGCAAUGACUUACUUCCUAUAAUUUUUUUCUUGAGGGAUACUUACUUCCUAUAUUAUUUUUUGAGACAUACUUACUUCCUAUAUGAAACACCCAACUUUGCCUUGCCCAUGUACGGGUGGUAGAAGCCCAGCAGUCGUGAUUCAGGCCCAUGUGAGCCUUUUUUCCUCGAAGUUAAAGCACUGGUGCCUAUUCGUCUCUGUCGUCUCCGUCAAUCCCCUCCAGCCUCCUCAUGACCUCAUCCACAUACACCAUUGCCUUCAAUUAGCAUCAGGCGAAGGAAGAUGUAACUGCUGGCUUAUGCGAAACUAAUUCCCGACCUAUCCACGCGCUACUUCUUGUCUCUUAUGUUCCAAUUUUUUGUUUUGGUGCUGUACUCAAACCCUAGCUCUGCUGAUCUUAGGUUGGGCAUGCAACAACGACGAACUCAUGUGGGUUUUAACAUUGUUUUUGUCGUAAAAAAAGUGGUGACUUCAUAUCUUAGAAGAAGUCGGAUGCAUUACCUCACUUGCCUAGUUUUCAUGCCUCAUUUCAGUAAGUUCUUGUAAUGUUCUCCUCUUGUAAAACACUUGUUCUUCUAGUGUUCCUUGCGUACUUCUAUCUAUCUCUAUUAAUUUUGGUAAAGCUUCUUCUGAUGAGUUCCUGCACAUAUGAACUGAGUCAAGUAUAAUAAGUAUCUUACAUUAUUGGUGAAUAAAGAUGAGUCAAGAUAAAUUAGUUGAUUAAUAGUAAAAAAUGGUCUUCCAUGCAUGUCAAGAAUUUCCCAAGUUUUGGUAUACCUAGAUCUGCACCUAUUCUUGUGGCAUUGGUUGACUUUAAGCACAACCAUGUUUAUCAGUGAAAAAUCCGUUAGAUAUAUUUUCGGUAAAUAAUAGAAGAGCUUGUAGGUUCUAACAUUAAGGAACUUACGAUCGAACUUCUGCACCAUUGUGAGGUCACAAUAAGGACAGUUUGGUUUCUAGUUACAUCCUCAUUCAAAAUAUUAGAAAACUUUCCCCAUAAAGUAACACCACUUUUCUCACCCAUAAAGAGUAUAAGCCGAAAAAUUGAUGCUAACCACAAUGAAGUUAGUCCAGUUAAAAUUUGAUGGGUAUGAAUUAUGCACUUACUCUGAUAUUGGAUUUAAUCUAGCGGAAAUACAAAGGUUCUGAGUUAUUUGACAUCUGUAAAAUUGGAGAUUAAAUAUUUUGAAGUCUGAAAUAUUAAUAUCUUGAAAAUCUUAUUUACAAGUAUAAACUAUAGAGGUACCUGAGCAUUCUUCAUCUUUCUCUGCAUGUGUUCUUCUAGUAUUUCCUCUGUAGCAAACUCGAAGUAGUAAUCUGGGUAACCUUUAGAUGAUCCUUUCACCUCCUAUACAUUUGUAUUUUAUGCAAAAAUAAUUAUAUUUCACUACUCAGUUGGUAAUACUUUGUGGAAUCCGCAAACUUAAAAUUGCUAAAUGCAUAGAUUGAUUCUAUCAACUUCCCGAUAGUAGCAUGAAUUUUUUGGCCCUGUCAGAACAAUCAAAAUAUAGUUAGUAGUUACUGUAUAAAAAAUAGAAAAUUUUGCAAGUAAUAAAUAUGUAUGAAAAAACCUUAUCAUCCAUGAAUAUCAUAUCGACAAAAUACACUUAGUUGUUGUAUAAAACAAAAUUGGACAAUCUGCUAGCAAAUAUGUAAUGACUAAACCUUUUCAUCCAUGAAUCAUCAUAUCGAGGCUCUUAAGCAAAUUACUUGUAAAAUUGAUUAAAUCUCAUAUUCUCAUUACUUGUACUUUAAUGUCAAUCUCCUUCUCUUGUUGUGAACUCGCAAAGAUUGUUGUAUGCCCUUGCUGCAAAAGUAUCAUACGAUCGCUAGUCAAGUAAGACUGUACCUGAAGAUUGUAUGCAGAAUAGCAAAUACAAACCUUGAUGAUCGAGAUGACAGGCCACUCGGAAGAUAGAUUGGAUCUAGAAUAGAAGUUAUGAACCUUGAUGAUUCAGGUGAGAGGCCACUUAGAAGGUUCCUUGGUGUGACUUCGUCCGGCGGCGCGACGUUGCGUAGUUGAAUCAGAAGACUUUGAUUUUGUCGGUAGUGUGCUGGCUAGGUUGCAGAUUGUAUGUCUUCUUAUGUGUUGUGGUUGACUCUGCAAGUAGUACGUGUUGAGUAAUUUUGGUUGAGUCCGUGUGUUC